rnacentral:rRNA from 1 species
AACGAGCGCUGGCGGCGCGUCUUAAGCAUGCAAGUCGAGCGGCAAGGUAGCAAUACCCUAGAGCGGCGGACUGGUGAGUAACGCGUGGGUGACCUGCCUUUGUGUUGGGGAUAGCCAUUAGAAAUAGUGGGUAAUACCGAAUACGGUUACGGGACUAUGGUUCUGUAAGAAGGGAGCUACGGCUCCGCACGAAGAUGGGCCCGCGUCCCAUUAGCUAGUUGGGGGUGUAACGGACGACCAAGGCGAUGAUGGGUAGCCGGACUGAGAGGUUGAACGGCCACAUUGGGACUGAGAUACGGCCCAAACUCCUACGGGAGGCAGCAGCUAAGAAUAUUCCGCAAUGGACGAAAGUCUGACGGAGCGACGCCGCGUGUAUGAUGAAGGCCGGAAGGUUGUAAAGUACUUUUGUCAACGAAGAAUAAGUGUGGGAGGGAAUGCCCGCAUGAUGACGUUAGUUGGCGAAUAAGCCCCGGCUAAUUACGUGCCAGCCGCCGCGGUAA